UUAUAUGGUCAAGAAGAGAAGCGCAAACGGUGGAUGCCUUGGCAGUAAGAGGCGAAGAAGGACGUGGAAUCCUGCGAAAAGCUAUGGGGAGCUGGAAACGAGCGAUGAGCCAUAGAUGUCCGAAUGGGGGAACCCGGCUGCAGCGAUGCGGUCAUUUGCAUUUGAAUACAUAGGAUGCAAAGGCGAACUCGGGGAACUGAAACAUCUAAGUACCCGAAGGAAAAGAAAUCAAGAGAGAUUCUCCAAGUAGCGGCGAGCGAACGGGGAGG
rnacentral:rRNA from 1 species